CAUGGAGAUUGGGUCAAGGUGGUUUAAUUAUUUAAACCAACCUAAUUGAACCAAAUAAGUUAGGUCCAAUUAGACUAAUUUAAACUCAACUAAAUUAAGCUUAAUUAGGCUCAAUAAAAUCCUAAUCAAAUCAGGAAUUGAUUAAGUCCAACCCCUGAUCAAAUCAGGGACCAAACCAUCUCGACGAUUAGGUCAACUCUUAACCUAAUCGGGUCAAACCCAACUGAAUCCAAUUCAAUUGGACUUGAUCCAAAAAUAAUUACUCAAUCAAAUUGA
rnacentral:lncRNA from 1 species